UACGAAGGGGGCGAGCGUUGUUCGGAUUUACUGGGCGUAAAGGGCGCGCAGGCGGCGCAUUUUGUCAGGCGUGAAAGCCCCGGGCUUAACCUGGGAACUGCGUUUGAUACGGAUGGGCUAGAGUCGGGAGAGGAGAGUGGAAUUCCCAGUGUAGAGGUGAAAUUCGUAGAUAAUUGGGAAGAACACCGGUGGCGAAGGCGGCUCUCUGGGACCGAAGGACUGACGCUGAGGCGCGAAAGCGUGGGAGCAACAGGAUUAAGAUACCGGGUGUACAGUCCA
rnacentral:rRNA from 1 species